rnacentral:rRNA from 1 species
CCUACGGGCGGCAGCAGUCGAGAAUCAUUCACAAUGGGGGAAACCCUGAUGGUGCGACGCCGCGUGGGGGAAUGAAGGUCUUCGGAUUGUAAACCCCUGUCAUGUGGGAGCAAAUUAAAAAGAUAGUACCACAAGAGGAAGAGACGGCUAACUCUGUGCCAGCAGCCGCGGUAAUACAGAGGUCUCAAGCGUUGUUCGGAAUCACUGGGCGUAAAGCGUGCGUAGGCUGUUUCGUAAGUCGUGUGUGAAAGGCGCGGGCUCAACCCGCGGACGGCACAUGAUACUGCGAGACUAGAGUAAUGGAGGGGGAACCGGAAUUCUAGGUGGAGCAGUGAAAUGCGGAGAUAUCGAGAGGAACACUCGUGGCGAAGGCGGGUUCCUGGACAUUAACUGACGCUGAGGCACGAAGGCCAGGGGAGCGAAAGGGAUUAGAUACCCCUGUAGUC